CGGGCGGUAGCUUAGCCUGGCAGAGCAUCCGGCUGUAGACCGGAAUGUCGCAGGUUCAAAUCCUGCCCGCCCGACCA
rnacentral:tRNA from 1 species